AAGAGGAAGUCUAAGGAGGCUGGAAGUGACUCUUUGCUCAGCCCAAAGUACCUGGAGAGCAGGAGAAAAUGGCAGGAUGCAAGAGGGGGAAAGGAUGGGGUCACACAAAGAAAAAGAGCUAGACUUGACCUCUUUUCCACUCCAGGAAUGAGAUGUAAGCCAGGAGGCAAGCCUGAGGCCGAGAAGCCCCCAGGGACGACAGAAUCUCCUGCAGGACUGGAGGUGGCCGGGGCUGAGGUUGUGGUCCUGAUGGCGGCCGCAGGCAAGGUGGAUGGAAACGAGACCAAGAGAAAAAAAUAAGUGACUUAGUAACUUAACUUUACCCAGAGAGUGGAACAUAAAAUGCAAGAUUUCAAACCCUGCCCUUCCAUUUCAUCUUCAUCUUUGAAAAAUACAGGCAGAGGUGAGCUGAUUUGGCUUGCUACCAUGGGUGAGGAUCUUGAAGGAGAAACUUGGCUGAACUUCUCCAUUCCCUGGGGCUUCGGCAAGGCAGUAGAGGAUGAAG